ACCCUGCAAACUAUUGAUAUUUGCGCCAACAAUUAUUUUACUAUCGAUUUAACCCCCUCUCUUCCCUCUCAUCUUUCAGACUGUUACCACGCACUCUCCCGCUUUCUCUGUGCUAGGGUUUUGAAUUUCGAUUUCUCUUUUGUCAUUUUUGAAAUAUGAUUCGCAGAAAUGUUUAGCAUUGGAAGAUCUAUCGGAGUUUAUGGGUGAAAAUGCGGGAAAUCAAAUGUGGAGUACUUCGUGGAAAUUUGCAGGAUUCAUUGAAGUCCGUAAAAAUAUAAAGGGCUAUUUUGUAAUAUUCAGCCUUCGAUAAAAACAGUCUUUUUCGCUUCUGGAAAAUUCUUCCUCCCUCCCUCCCUCACUCUCUCUUCUUCGUUCUUCCUCGUAGUUUAGGGUUUAAUUUUCUGCCUUUUUUUCUUGCAAAUCUUAGUGUUGUAGCUUGAGUAUCAGAGCCACAGAACUGUGUCACAUGUCCUGUUGCUAUUUUCUAUCACAGUAAGUUUACAGUGCAAAAGUUUAGUCCUUGACUCUAAAUGUUACGAAUCAUCUGUUUUCUUUAGUUCCUGCAGUUUCUGUUUAGUUUUUUUUUGCUUUAUUUUGUCAUUUUAUUGCUUGGAUAUUGUUAAUCUUUCUACUCUUUGUUGUUACUGUUGUCGAUUCAGUUUAUUUUGGUGAAGAUCUGAAAGCUUACUAGUUAUAUUCCUUGAUUUGUUCUGUUUAGUUGUAGAUCUGACUACUAUUGCACUGUAAAUGCUGUAUCUGCUUCUCUGACCGUAAAUCUGUGUUAAUCCAUGUCUUGCAGUUUUGUGAAGAUUCAAUCAUUCCUUCUUGUAUAACCUCUUGCUGGUUGUGUUUGAUUGUCGAUCUAGUCUCUUUCUACUUACUGAAUACUCAUUUUCCGAUAAUCUGUUUGCUCUGACUCGUUUCCUUUAAAAAAAAAAAAAAAUCUUUUGCUGGUAUUCACUUCUUACAUUUGUUUGUACUGUUAUUCUCUCUUUUGUUAAAAAUAAAAAAUCUGCAGCUUAUUCUUAGCAGUCUAUCGUUUUGUUUUAAAGUCUCUUUCUGUGUCCCUAAAGUAGGUUUUCUCAUAAACCUAUUUUCCAAAAAGGGAAAAAAAAUAAAAGACUAAAAACAAGAAAAGAUCAUCAAACAAUUAAAAUCUGUCUAAUCAUGGAAGACUCUCCAAAUGAAACAAUUAACCCUGUGGCUAGUGGUAGUCACUCUAUGUCCCCUGCCCUAGGUUCCUCAACAUUUUCAUCCAGUCUCCAAUGGUAAUGUUGAUCGCAUUAGAAGUAUUUCUCAGUAACUUAAGUGAUGCUAAACUACCAUAUAUCUUAGAAGAAUUAGAUAAAUCUGCUGUGUACUAGUUUUCUAAUGGUUGUCCAGAUAGGUAUGGAAGAAUAAUAUUUUGAAGCAUGCUGAAAAAAUAGCUGGGAAAACUAGUUUAAUUAUGAGAGGUCAAAUGUUUUGGAGCAAAGAUAAGCCAUGUCAGGUCCUUCAAUUCAUAUGAGGGCUUUCAAGUCCAGAAUGUCUUCGUGCUCUUUGUACUCUUCUUACACUGUCAAUCUUUAAGUCUUUCAAACAUUUACAAUCAAUGAUUUUCAAUAUAUCAUAACACUUUAUAUCUGUGGACAAAACUUUAAGUGACUUUGAACAACCAAGGAAUUGAAGGCUUAGAGAUUGCAUAGUGUUUAGUAAUCUUUUAGAGCUCAAAAACUUUUAGAGAACUUCUGAACUUUUAAGCUUAUAUUCAAUAGAUGCAAGGACUUUAAACAAAUCAUUUCAUCUAUCAACAACUCAGCAUUGUUGAAUAGAACACUCUCUUUUGACACGUCACUUGAAGAACUACAUUCCAACGUUCUCAAUAUGUUUAACAUUAAAAACUUAGAAAUCAAUUGUUGGAGAAUUUUACAAAGUUGAGAUGUAUGCUCUAAGCUUGAACUUUUGAGUCUCACCAUGGUUUUCAACUAUUUUGACAAUUCUUCUAUAGCAGUUUUGAUAGAUUAAAGUGUUGAAGAAAAAUCAAAUUUGAAAUUUUUAGAAGGUAAUUUGGCUAGGGAAUAGGUUAAGAAUUUUGAGACAAGACAUAAAUUGGAAGAAAUAAGCGUGAAUCAUCUUUGAUCGAUUACUAUUAAGAAAUAAAUUUAAGAGAUGUGCAAGUAGGGCUCUCUGACAGAAUCUCACUAUAUACCAAUCUUCAACAUUUGGUGCUUCAAUUAAUCUUGCACCUUUACAAACCAAAUGAUUUCCUUUCUCCUUCUCAACCUAUUGUGCUAUCCACAAAGUCAUGUUAUGAAUAAUAUCAUGCAUUUUUACACAGUUGCCUUCUGUUUAUCCCAACAAACAUGCUUAAAGAAGAAUGCCAAUAAUGCAAUAUUCUUCAUUUUGUACUCCACUUUUGUUUUUCAAAAAUCCUUCUCUAACCUAUUCAUCUAUCAGGUUCUUAUAGAAAUUCUAAUCUUCAGGAAAUAAAGUAUAAUAUUAGAGACAAAAUCUAAUUAUAUCAUUAGCUAAACUAUCAUAACUGAACUUUAAAAACCUUAUAUAUUAUCUUUUAUACCCAAGAAUUUCAAAGAUGAUUCCUUCAAGACCUCAAUUGCAUAUUUUCAUUAUUAAAGAAUGUGAUCGCUUGCCAUUAGCUCUAAUUACUAUUGGUCGGGUUAUGGCGCCUAAGAAGACACCUGAAGAGUAGAAAUAUGCAAUUGAGGUUUUGAGGAAAUCAUCCUUUAAAUUUUUGGGUGUACAAGAUGUAUAUACUUUUAAAGCUCAGUUAUGAUAGUUUAGCUAAUGAUACAAUUAGAUCUUGUCUCUUAUAUUGUAGUUUAAUUCUUGAAUAUCAUAGAAAUUCUAUUAAAGACCUGAUAGAUCAAUAGGUUGAGGAGGAAUUUUCGGAAGACAAAAUGACGGAUAUUAUAUUAUUGACAUUCUUCUUGAAAGAUAAUAGUGAAAAAAUGCAUGAUGAUAUUCAUGACAUGACUUUGUAGAUAGCAAGAGAAGUUGAGGAGACGAAAGGUUAUUUUGUUUGUGCAGGUGCAGGCUUAACUGAAACACCACAUGUUGAAGAUUGAAAUAUAAUGAGGAGGAUGUCCAUGAUAGAAAAUUAAGUUGAGAUUCUAUCAGAGAACCCUGCUUGUCCUCAUCUCCUAACUUUAUUUCUUAGUAGUAAUCUGCUAAAGAUGAUGAGUUCUUUCAAUUUAUAUCUUGUUUUAAAGUUCUUAACCUAUCAGAUUCCCUCUCUCUAACCAAAUUACCUUCUUAAAUUUCAAAAUUAAUUUCAUUCUAGCACUUUGAUCUAUCAAAUACUGUUUUAAAAGAAUUGCCGAAAGAGUUGAAGGUCAUGAUGCAACUUUAAAGUUUGAACUUGGAGCAUACAUCUCAACUUUGUAAAAUUCCCUGACAGUUGAUUUAUAAGUUCUUAAUGUUGAAUGUAUUGAAAAUGUUGGAUUAUGGUUCUUCAAGUGAAAUGGCAAAAGAGAGUGUUCUAUUAAACAACAGUGAGCUUUUGAUAGAGGAAUUGAUUUUUUGAAGUCCUUACAUCUGUUGAACAUCAGCAUAAAGUUCAAAAGUUCUACAAAUAUUUUUGUGCUCUCAAAGAUUGCUAAACUCAGUGCAAUCUUUAUGCCUUCAAUUCUUUGGUCGCUCAAAGCUUUGUCAACCGAUAUGAAGUGUCUUGACACAUCGAAAAUCAUGGAUUGUAAAUAUUUGGAAGAAUUGAAUAUUGACUGUAUAAGAAGAGUACAGAGAACACAAAGAUCUUCUGAAUUUGAAAGCCUUCAUUGGUUGAUAUAAGCUCCCACUCAAGAUUGAAGGACCUGACGUAGCUUAUCCUUGCUUCAAACACAAAAGAAGGUGCAGUGUUGAUCAAAGGACAGAAACAUUGGUGGGACAAGCUGCAAAAGGAAUAUCAAGCCAGUCAAAAGUGCUUUCCGUCCAUGUUUCAGUAAUUGUUGGUGACAAUUUUUGUUGUUUGGUGUAACAUGUGAGUUUUUUUUUUUUUCUUUUGGCUGAGGCAUUUAUCAUUUGUACUUGUUUGUAGCUGUCUUUAGCUUUGAUGGUUUUAUGUCCUAGUUUGAUUAUCCAUGAGGACUGAACCUGGAUUCUUUGUAUCCUGUAUAAGAUUUACUCAUGUUUAAGAACUGCAUUGUUGCAGUGUAUUCCCUCAGGCAAGGAUAAUAGAACAUUGCAAUCUUCAAUCACAAGGACACUCAAUUUGGAAAAAAAGGCAUCUUAUAGUGAGCGCUUUUAUAUUUCUCUGAGGGUCUCUCUUCCAUCACAAGAGUAAUCACAUUUUCUAAUCCAUUAAUACUAAGUCUUCCUUGAAGAAACCUUAAAUUC